rnacentral:rRNA from 1 species
CCUACGGGAGGCAGCAGUGAGGAAUAUUGGUCAAUGGACGAGAGUCUGAACCAGCCAAGUAGCGUGAAGGAUGACUGCCCUAUGGGUUGUAAACUUCUUUUAUAAAGGAAUAAAACGAGGCACGUGUGCCUUUUUGCAUGUACUUUAUGAAUAAGGAUCGGCUAACUCCGUGCCAGCAGCCGCGGUAAUACGGUGGAUCCGAGCGUUAUCCGGAUUUAUUGGGUUUAAAGGGAGCGUAGAUGGUUUGUUAAGUCAUUUGUGAAAGUUUGCGGCUCAACCGUAAAAUUGCAAUUGAUACUGGCAGUCUUGAGUACAGUUGAGGGAGGCGGAAUUCGUGGUGUAGCGGUGAAAUGCUUAGAUAUCACGAAGAACCCCGAUUGCGAAGGCAGCUUACUAAACUGUGACUGACAUUGAUGCGCGAAAGUGUGGGUAGCAAACAGGAUUAGAUACCCUUGUAGUC